UACGUAGGGGGCAAGCGUUGUCCGGAUUUAUUGGGCGUAAAGGGCGCGUAGGCGAUUUGAAAAGUCUUGUGUGAAAGCCCCGAGCUUAACUCGGGAAGUGCACAAGAAACUGUUGAAUUUGAGUUCCGGAGAGGAAGGCAGAAUUCCCGGUGUAGCGGUGAAAUGCGUAGAUAUCGGGAGGAAUACCAGUGGCGAAGGCGGCCUUCUGGACGGAUACUGACGCUGAGGCGCGAAAGCCAGGGGAGCAAACGGG
rnacentral:rRNA from 1 species